rnacentral:rRNA from 1 species
CCUACGGGCGGCAGCAGUGGGGAAUAUUGCACAAUGGGCGCAAGCCUGAUGCAGCCAUGCCGCGUGUGUGAAGAAGGCCUUCGGGUCGUAAAGCACUUUCAGCGGGGAGGAAGGCGGUGAGGUUAAUAACCUCAUCGAUUGACGUUACCCGCAGAAGAAGCACCGGCUAACUCCGUGCCAGCAGCCGCGGUAAUACGGAGGGUGCAAGCGUUAAUCGGAAUUACUGGGCGUAAAGCGCACGCAGGCGGUCUGUCAAGUCGGAUGUGAAAUCCCCGGGCUCAACCUGGGAACCGCAUUCGAAACUGGCAGGCUAGAGUCUUGUAGAGGGGGGUAGAAUUCCAGGGGUAGCGGUGAAAUGCGUAGAGAUCUGGAGGAAUACCGGUGGCGAAGGCGGCCCCCUGGACAAAGACUGACGCUCGGGUGCGAAAGCGUGGGGAGCAAACAGGAUUAGAUACCCUAGUAGUC